rnacentral:lncRNA from 1 species
UGUGACUUUUUGUAGGAGCCAGUUAUGGCAAUUGCCUUGAAGAGCGUUUGGCUUUAUUAUAUUGCCCUCUACCAGCACUGCAGGAGAUUGCAGACUGAUGCUUAGCACAUGGAGGAGUAAGUCUGGCAGGAGAACCACGAGAUCAAUAGAACUUUCUUUGGUCCCAUUUCAAACCCAGCACAGGAUUUAUGAGAUGACAAUUGGCUCCAUCGUGUUCCAGGUGGCUGCUGGUGAUAUUACCAAGGAAAGUGGAGAUGUCAUCAUAGACAUAUCAAACCAAACUUUCAACCUCUAAACAGGUACUUCAGUCACUAUUAUGUGUGGAAAUAGGACUAUUUCCACAUGUAAUAGGAAGCACUAAGAAGGUGAGUGGGAAGCUUUCUUGUUAUUCUAUGCUACUGGAUAAUGCAUUUAAGACUUGCAGGAAAGUGAAAUUAUUAACUUCAAUUUUUCGAUAAUAUCUUUUAACACAACAUCUCUUAUAUUAAAGGAGAGGAAUGUUAUUGUGGCUUUUACUUCAGUGAAACUUCUUAGGUUUCUCAAGAUGUCUUUUGACUUGAAAUGCAUAAGCCUAAUAUUUAAAUGAUACUGUCCAAUUAUAAUUUGUGCUUUUACCAAAAAUGAGAGUAUGGAGUAUCUGAUUCUGCCUUCAAGACAAAAGAGCAUCUAAACCUUUGUAAAGAACAAGAUCUACCUAUGAUUGCAUCCUCUUAUUCUGGUAAAGCUUUAAAUGAUAUAGACAAGUCCACAGACUUGAACACAGGUAUGAGCUGAGGAUGAUGUUAGCAGAACUCUUAAUAGAGAAGCUGUGUCUCAUUAGGAG